CCUUCUGGAGAUGCAUCCAGGACUCAUGCAGUGGAGAAACCUCCCAGUCAUGGGUGGAAUCCAAUUUCUCCAGCUCACUAGUUGCUGAACAGUUCCUUCCUCAGCAUUGUUUGAUCUGAAUAGAUGAUAACAGACCUGUAAUUAUCUCUCUUCAGCUUGGACUUACUGCUUACCAUUCCCUUUUCUCCCACCCCUGGUUACCUUUGUGUUUGAGGGAUUCUGGAGAAAGCAAGAACAGUUUGUUCUGCCUUCUCCCAUACCUCUUGCAUCUGCAUGGAGUGGAUGCUCUGGUCUGUUUUUAAUUUCCAGAUUCUACAGUGCUUUUGAGUCCAAGGUGCUAAAUAUAGA